rnacentral:rRNA from 1 species
UUAGGAAUCUUGGACAAUGGGCGCAAGCCUGAUCCAGCCAUGCCGCGUGAGUGAUGAAGGCCCUAGGGUUGUAAAGCUCUUUCAGCGGGGAAGAUAAUGACGGUACCCGCAGAAGAAGCCCCGGCUAACUUCGUGCCAGCAGCCGCGGUAAUACGAAGGGGGCUAGCGUUGCUCGGAAUCACUGGGCGUAAAGCGCACGUAGGCGGCUUUUUAAGUCAGGGGUGAAAUCCUGGAGCUCAACUCCAGAACUGCCUUUGAUACUGAGAAGCUGGAGUCCGGGAGAGGUGAGUGGAACUGCGAGUGUAGAGGUGAAAUUCGUAGAUAUUCGCAAGAACACCAGUGGCGAAGGCGGCUCACUGGCCCGGUACUGACGCUGAGGUGCGAAAGCGUGGGGAGCAAACA